UGGUACCACCGUAGUGGAGAGAGCAGACCUCAGCGCGCCAUUAAGGCUCAUCGCAAUCUGACUGCUGCCAAACGCUACUCAUUUAACUCUACGAUUCCUUGAGGCUGUUGCAGUUCUCUACACCUGUAAGCAGUCCGCGUGCCUUUCACUGCAGUCCACUGAAAAGAGAUUGAAAAUGGCACCAGAAAACCUCCAAAAGCCUCCUUUUGGUAAUAAAUCGCUCAGGGCUCCAUUAAUUGGCAUAAUGAAGUCUGCAGUGAGUGGCCCUGCUCUCCCAUCCGUCCUUCUCCCAGUCAUCUUUUAAUGUUUAGCUUCAUCACAUGGCCGCAACAUCUCAUUCAGCGGGAAUUAAUAAACAGA